AUGAGAUAAAGCUUUUUUAGAUAAUGCUUUUUUAGAUAAUGCUGGGGAAGGUUUUCCGGUUUAUCUCGGAGGGCUUGUAGCUCAGUUGGUUAGAGCGCGCGCUUGAUAAGCGUGAGGUCGGAGGUUCAAGUCCUCCCAGGCCCACCAAUUUACCUAUCCAUUUGCCUUUAUCCGUUUAUUCGCCGAUUUAUCGGUCCAUUGAAUUUAAGUGUUGGUAGCAGUUUUUAUAAUGAUGAGAAAUCAUGCUUAUAAAAGAACUCCUUAUAAAAGGCUUGUUUUUAAAAUGUGACGCUUAUCCAUUUUGCUUAGGCAAGAGAAACUUCAAGCGGUUCAAAUGCAAAAGGCUUUAAAUUUUGCAAAA
rnacentral:misc_RNA from 1 species